GACGAACCGUGCGAACGUUGUUCGGAAUCACUGGGCUUAAAGGGCGCGUAGGCGGGCUGCCAAGUCCGGGGUGAAAUCGUUCGGCCCAACCGGACAAGUGCCUUGGAUACUGGCGGCCUCGAGCGAGGUAGGGGCAGCUGGAACUUCCGGUGGAGCGGUGAAAUGCGUUGAUAUCGGAAGGAACGCCGGUGGCGAAAGCGAGCUGCUGGACCUUUUCUGACGCUGAGGCGCGAAAGCCAGGGGAGCAAACGGG
rnacentral:rRNA from 1 species